rnacentral:rRNA from 1 species
GACGAACGCUGGCGGCGUGCUUAACACAUGCAAGUCGAACGGAAAGGCCCUGCUUUUGUGGGGUGCUCGAGUGGCGAACGGGUGAGUAACACGUGAGUAACCUGCCCUUGACUUUGGGAUAACUUCAGGAAACUGGGGCUAAUACCGGAUAGGAGCUCCUGCUGCAUGGUGGGGGUUGGAAAGUUUCGGCGGUUGGGGAUGGACUCGCGGCUUAUCAGCUUGUUGGUGGGGUAGUGGCUUACCAAGGCUUUGACGGGUAGCCGGCCUGGGAGGGUGACCGGCCACAUUGGGACUGAGGUACGGCCCAGACUCCUACGGGAGGCAGCAGUGGGGAGUAUUGCACAAUGGGCGGAAGCCUGAUGCAGCGACGCCGCGUGCGGGAUGACGGCCUUCGGGUUGUAAACCGCUUUCGCCUGUGACGAAGCGUGAGUGACGGUAAUGGGUAAAGAAGCACCGGCUAACUAUGUG